AGUGAACGCUGGCGGUAGGCCUAACACAUGCAAGUCGAACGGCAGCACAGUAAGAGCUUGCUCUUACGGGUGGCGAGUGGCGGACGGGUGAGGAAUACAUCGGAAUCUACUUUUUCGUGGGGGAUAACGUAGGGAAACUUACGCUAAUACCGCAUACGACCUACGGGUGAAAGCAGGGGAUCUUCGGACCUUGCGCGAUUGAAUGAGCCGAUGUCGGAUUAGCUAGUUGGCGGGGUAAAGGCCCACCAAGGCGACGAUCCGUAGCUGGUCUGAGAGGAUGAUCAGCCACACUGGAGCUGAGACACGGUCCAGACUCCUACGGGAGGCAGCAGUGGGGAAUAUUGGACAAUGGGCGCAAGCCUGAUCCAGCCAUACCGCGUGGGUGAAGAAGGCCUUCGGGUUGUAAAGCCCUUUUGUUGGGAAAGAAAAGCAGCAGGUUAAUACCCCGCUGUUCUGACGGUACCCAAAGAAUAAGCACCGGCCAACUUCGUG
rnacentral:rRNA from 1 species